rnacentral:lncRNA from 1 species
CUUUUUGUAACAUUGCUUAUCAUUUUUAGGAGAUGUAUGAUGCAGCCAUUCUAGCUGAGAGCUCAUCUGAUUAGGUGAAGGCAGUGAAGAAGGGGAAGGAGUGUGUGAAUGAGACGCUCAAGCAGACAGAAGAGUGCAGAGCUCAAUGUGUGAUGGUGUCUCGGGUCAUUCCGGAGGAGCCAGACACCAUUCAGGGCGUUUAUGAGAGAGCUGCAGACCUCUCUCUCUCCUUGCUGUCAUGCAAACAGAUGUGUGUGACCUUAGUGUCAACGCGACCUAGAAGGGUUUCUGCUCUGGAGGACUUCCUGCCCUUACAGCUCGAGCACUUACAUAUUGCACAGUUCAAAGAUUCAGACUCCCUUAAUCUGGAGCUCUACACUCAGACUCUAGAGGCCGACACUGAGGCUCAGGAAACAGGCCCCAUGCAGGUGUGA